rnacentral:tRNA from 1 species
GGGCCGGUACGGGAAAUUUCGGGCGCUCUCAUAAUCCGCCUCCGAAAGGACACCGUGGGUUCGAAUCCCACCCGGCUCA